rnacentral:rRNA from 1 species
ACAAGCAGCGGAGCAUGUGGUUUAAUUCGAAGCAACGCGAAGAACCUUACCAGAUCUUGACAUCCAAUUGACCAUCUUUUAAUCGAGAUUUUGCCUUCGGGUACAAUUGAGACAGGUGGUGCAUGGUUGUCGUCAGCUCGUGUCGUGAGAUGUUGGGUUAAGUCCCGCAACGAGCGCAACCCUUGUGUUUAGUUGCAAACAGGUCAAGCUGUGCACUCUAGACAGACUGCCGUGGACAACACGGAGGAGGGUGGGGACGACGUCAAGUCAUCAUGGCCCUCAUGUCCAGGGCGACACACGUGCUACAAUGGCCGGCACAACGGGAAGCGACGGCGCGAGUCGUAGCGGAUCCCUCAAAGCCGGUCCCAGUUCGGAUUGCAGUCUGCAACUCGACUGCAUGAAGCCGGAAUCGCUAGUAAUCGUGGAUCAGCCAAGCCGCGGUGAAUACGUUCCCGGGCCUU